GUGCCAGCCGCCGCGGUAAUACCGGCAGCUCAAGUGAUAUCCCAUAUUAUUGGGCCUAAAGCGUCCGUAGCUGGCCGACCAAGUCUACCGGGAAAUCCACUCGCCCAACGAGUGGGCGUCCGACGGAAACUGCAUAGCUUGGGACCGGAAGGCUCGAAGGGUACGUGCGGGGUAGGAGUGAAAUCCCAUAAUCCCGCACGGACCACCGAUGGCGAAAGCACUUCGAGAAAACGAAUCCGACAGUGAGGGACGAAAGCCAGGGUCUCCAACCGGAUUAGAUACCCCAGUAGUCC
rnacentral:rRNA from 1 species